UUUCCCUAUUUCCUUCUUCCUCCCGUGCGUCCUUCCCCUUCUCCCCAGCCGCAACCGCCGCGCCUCUUCUCCUUCCUCCCGUACGCCGCGACGACUCCACCGUCUCCUUCUCCCUUCCCUUCCGUUUCCUUCCCGCCGCAGCCCAGCCGCAACCAGCCGUCUUUCUCUUCCGUUUUCUUUCCGCCGCAGCCCAGCGGUAGCCCGCGAUCUGUCGUCUCCAUCUCCGGUUCGCGAAGCAACCUUGCAGCAGUCAUCCCGCGUGCCGAUCUGCCGUCUCCAUCGCCGGUUCUGUCUUCGUCGAAGCCCGAGCCGCCGUGUGAACCAGUAACCGCCACGUUCGCCGCUCACAACCGCCGUAAAGCCAGCCGCGCAACCUUCGUUCCAACCGCUGCACUGCCGCGCGAUUCUCCGGCCACGUCUUCUUUAGCCGACCGCUGACCGACCCACACUUAGGAUUUUGCUGCGAGUUCGACAGUCGUGCGUUGAGUGUUGGGAGUAACCUUGGGCUCCCUUAAAUUCACAACCAAAUUGUGAAUUGUUGAGGGUUCAGUUCGCCAAUAUUUCGGAUUUGAUUCAUUGGAUUUAGUCGAUUGAAGAAUUUGCAUAGAAAUCGAGGGGAAGGGGUGUGUAAGGGAUUUUGAUUUUAGUCAUUGAAUGCCAGUGUGUAGCGCCCACCUCCAGGUGACGGAUUUUCAGCAGCCACCGUCGCCCUCUUCCAAUUUUGUUUUCGACAACCCUCUCUAUUCUAUGUUGCUGUUUCCAAUGGGGUUGUAUUAUCUUCUGGAGUAUACAUGUUGGAUUUGUUGUAGAUGUAGCCAUGGUUUCCUCCUUCGUUGCUUAUUCUUAACUUCAUGUAACUUAUAGCCAUCUAAUUCGUUUCUUCUUCCUAUUUUUUCUCCUCUUCUAAUGGCAUCUUUCAUUCUCUACAUCCAACUUGCGCAACCGUGAUAUAUUCUCCAAGGUAAGUAUCUCUUUAAUGGACGUCAAAAGACUGCAUCUUGAAAAAUGAUUUCAUCCAAGAUAUAUUCAUAUGGGCUUUUUUAUUCCUUUGAAAGAAUGUCAUUCAUAUAUUACACAUCCUUAUACCUGAGUUUACAAGGUUGUUAUAGUACUUUCGCGUUUCAUGAGUGAAAAGAUAGAAUCAAGUUGCGGAAUUACGUUCAUUUUUAGAGCUCUUAAGUGAUUGAAGAUAGUUGAUGUAUAUUUAUUUUCUCAAAAGUCACAUUUUUUGCAAGUUUGGUUUACUUUGGAUUUAUUAAAGAUAAUACCAGUUCACUUAUUGAUUCCAUUCAUUCCCGAAAAAAUUCUUUAAAAAAAUUUAGUUUAACACCAAGAAUCGCUUUGAGGAUUUAUCUCCUUAAGGGUUGUCGGAACCAUAUACUGAACAUCUACAAUACGUUUGAUCAUAGUUAACUUUACAAUGAUCUAGUUGAUAGUCUUCCUAUUUGUUGAGCUUCUCUUUUAGAUUGAAGGAAAGGGAAAGACUUGGCUAGGUUGUGGCAAGCAAACUUCUUCGCUAUUAUGUGGAGAAAUUUAGAGGGGAGGCUAGGGAGUUAGAGAGUUUUUUUGGAAAAAAAAAAAGAGACGGGACUUUACAUUAAGAGAAUGAAAAAAAAAGACCAAUGUUCAAAGAAGUGAAAAAGAGCAACAUAGCACAAAAAAAAGACAUAGGAACAUAAUGCAAAAAGUAAGCUAGAGAGGUGAUAAGGAUAAUUAGUAUAUUUUAGUUAAUUGGUUAAUUGUCUUAUUUUCCUGUAAGGCUAUAGAUAGCCAAUUUAGAGUGUAUUUGAACCUCUUGAAUAUCUUUCCAAUAUAGAACGUUGUUCUUGGAGAGCUUUUUCUCAUCUCUAAGGAAUGAGAUUUCUCUUGUUCCAGAAUGGAUUUGGCAUGGUACUCCAACCUGCUGCAUCAAGAGGUUUAAUUAUUCAGUUUGGGCAUUGAUCACUAGGACUUUUUGUAAUUGUGAUAAUGAUCUUGUUCUUUUUUAUUAGAUUGUUUUAUGUGAUUAGUCAUUGACUCCUUUUUAUGAGUAUUACGUCUUUUUUUUGUUUUUCUUAUUGCAAUUUGGUUUUGGUAUUUCUGUUGUAUGUCUUUUUAUUAUUAUUAUUGCAAUUUGGUUUUGGUAUUUCUGUUAUGAAUAGAGUUUUGUUUGCCCUUGGUUCUUUUAUUUUUUCAAUAAACGUUCGGUUGCUUAAAUAAAAUGGUUCUCUGGACAGAAGUGAAUUGUGAGUUUACUGAAUUUGGUAAAUUUAGAAGCAUUCCUCUGUGCAUCCUCUAGUAGAUUUUGGAUUUUCCUCUUCCACUGUAAUGGAAUUGGACCGAGAAAAGUUAAUGUGUUCCAGUUAUUUUACGGUGCUGGCACUUACAUGUUUGGAAUUGAUGAUGAACGAAUAAUUGAUGCUACAAGGGCUGGAAGCAUUGCUCAUCUGAUCAACCACUCUUUCGAAUAACUGUUGCUCCUCACAGAAGUGUUCAAGGAUAAAUAAAGGUUCAUAUUAGAAGUGGACGUCCAUUAGUUUUGGGGAUAGACUUUAGUUUUGGUAUCUCCAAUUGAGAAUUUAGCCAUUGUGCUUACUCUUUAUGGAGUAUCUAAAGACAAGAAAUCGACACUCCAAUGCUAUGAAAAUUUUCCUAUAAGCUGAUGAUAUGUGGGGAAGAUAUUCAUAGUUCAUCUUUAUUGGCGAUGAUUGCAUAAUACAAACUGUUUAACUCUAAGGAUUACAAAUUGUCGUACAUGUAUUGUCGUAGGCUGUUUUGUUCUAAGGACUAGGAACAACCCAAGAAGUUGUUCAAUUUGCAGUGGCCAUUUGAUUUUAAAGAGUUGAAGAUAACAAUCGAUGAGACAUUGAGCUUUGAGUUAUGUGAGAGUUCUUUUUUAACUGAGGUAACUGCUUAGAUUCUUCUGCUAAAGUUCAAAAUGUCCACACCUCCCAAGGAAUAACUCACGGUUCAACUGGAGUCGACAAGUUCAUGAGUUUUGUUUCAAAUAUCAUUUCCAGAAACGAAC